CGGCGGACGGGUGAGUAACGCGUGGGUAACCUGCCCCAUACAGGGGGAUAACAGUUAGAAAUGACUGCUAAUACCGCAUAAGCGCACAGGACCGCAUGGUCCGGUGUGAAAAACUCCGGUGGUAUGAGAUGGACCCGCGUCUGAUUAGCUGGUUGGCGGGGUAACGGCCCACCAAGGCGACGAUCAGUAGCCGACCUGAGAGGGUGGCCGGCCACAUUGGGACUGAGAUACGGCCCAGACUCCUACGGAAGGCAGCAG
rnacentral:rRNA from 1 species